UUAAAAUAAAAAAAAAAUCACUUCCUUAAGCUUACUUAAUGUUUGCAGAUGUUCAGGUUUUAGUUUUGUACUUCAUAAAAUCCAAGAUUUAAAUUUUGUUUGAGAUAGAUCUUCAGAGAAGAAGCUUGCUAACUAACUGAAUCCAGAGAAUGAACUGUUUGCAGAAAGAUAUCCAAACCUUUUCACUACAGGAAGAUCCAGAAUGAACUUUGGGGUGCAGUUGAUUGAAUUUAUUUUGAAUGUACACUCUUAUGCCAAAGGGGACUGCCCCCUAACUGGUUUUUGUCAAUGCACCCAGCAAAACAUUGGUUUGCUGUCUUUCUCUCUCCUCUGUUUCCCCUAAUCUACAACUAUUGUAGUUUUCCUCUUGGAGGGAAAAAUUUUGUAUACACAUGCAGUUAGAAUUUUUCGGGGUACAGUAUGCUUAUGUUUAGUGAUCAAUUAGGGAGACUAGUCCCCCAAUCAUCAUCAGGGGGGAUUGUGAAUUUUAAAAUCUCCAUCUUGCUUGGUCUAGCACCCAAAAUUGUGCACACUCACACCACACAAGCAUGUGCUAGUCCAUGACAAAUCAGAAUUAACUAACUGCCCACCUGGGCUGUCCUAAGCCAAGCUUGAGCCACAAUUGGCACUUGUGAGGCACAGGAAGUGAGGUAGGGAACAUCCUCUGGAAUUCACUCACUUCCUGUGGAGAGAGCUAGGUGGGAGUUCAUGCUAGGAGCUUGAGGAGGGAGGAGGCCCACAGACAGCUUCCCUUCAAAUUGGUCAAUCUCCAUGCUCCUUCUCAGGUCACCACCCACAAGUAAAUUGUGUAGGAACUGAAGGUGGCUCCUAUACUUGGCACGCAACAUGGUUAAAAAUCACCUGAAGAGAUAGUGUUGGAGUUCAAGAUUGGAGACGGAUCAGCAGACCUAGACUUGGCCAGUCAGAAUGAUGAGAAAAUUGAACAUGGAACCAGUUCUGAUGGGAGAAAGGAAUAAACAUGGAAGUGGGAAGGAUGCUGGAGAUGCCCAACCAAGACACCAUAGAUGAACUACCUAAGCAGUAAGAAGGAAAGACAAGGAAAUUAAGUGUGUCUACGUGUUAUGUUUGUGUGUUACAAAAGAGAUAAUGAAAAGGUGUGGGACUAAGAAAAAAUGAAAGAUGCCAAAGAGAAAUAUCCCACACCACAAUUUUACCUUGGGCAAAGUGCUAAGUAGAAUGGGAAUGAAAGGAGAGAGCCAGGAUCAGUUUCACAAAAGCAUGAUAAUG